rnacentral:rRNA from 1 species
UACGGAGGGUGCGAGCGUUGUCCGGAAUCAUUGGGCGUAAAGGCGCGUAGGUGGCGCGGCAAGCGUGCGGUGAAAGCUCGGGGCUCAACCCCGAGUCGGCCGUGCGAACUGCUGUGCUUGAGCACUGUAGAGGCAGGCGGAAUUCCGGGUGUAGCGGUGGAAUGCGUAGAGAUCCGGAAGAACACCGGUGGCGAAGGCGGCCUGCUGGGCAGUGGCUGACACUGAGGCGCGACAGCGUGGGGAGCAAACAGG